rnacentral:rRNA from 1 species
GACGAACGCUGGCGGCGUGCUUAACACAUGCAAGUCGAACGAAGUGGCAAACGGGUGAGUAACGCGUAAUCAACCUGCCCUUCAGAGGGGGAACACAGUUGGAAAAGACUGCUAAUACCGCAUACUGAAGGAGGGGAUUGCGUAUGCUUAGCUAGUUGGAGAGGUAACGGCCCACCAAGGCGAUGAUCAGUAGCGGGUGUGGAAGGAUGGACGGCGAAAUUUGAACGGAGACACGGCCCAGACUCCGACGGGAGGCAGCGGUGGGGACUCUUCCGCAAGGGACGAAAGUCUGACGGAGCAAAGCCGCGGGAGUGAUGACGGCCUGCGGGUUGGAAAGCUCUGUUAAUCGGGACGCGGUACCGGAAUAGAAAGCCACGGCUAACUACGUGCCAGCCGCCGCGGUAAUAC